rnacentral:tRNA from 1 species
GAGGGUAUAGCUCAGUGGUAGAGCACAUGCUUAGCAUGCGUGAGGUACUAGGUUCAAUCCCCAGUACCCCCU